rnacentral:rRNA from 1 species
UAGGGAAUCUUCCACAAUGGGCGAAAGCCUGAUGGAGCAACGCCGCGUGAGUGAUGAAGGUUUUCGGAUCGUAAAACUCUGUUGUUAGGGAAGAACACCCGAGAGAGGAUCUCGGACUGACGGUACCUAACGAGAAAGCCCCGGCUAACUACGUGCCAGCAGCCGCGGUAAUACGUAGGGGGCGAGCGUUGUCCGGAUUUACUGGGCGUAAAGGGUGAGUAGGCGGUAAUAUGUGUCAGAUGUAAAAGGCUAUGGCUUAACCAUAGUUGGCAUUUGAAACUGUAUUACUUGAGUGCAGGAGAGGUAAGUGGAAUUCCUAGUGUAGCGGUGAAAUGCGUAGAUAUUAGGAGGAACACCAGUGGCGAAGGCGACUUACUGGACUGUAACUGACGCUGAGUCACGAAAGCGUGGGUAGCAAACA